AUGAGCGCUGAUUUUGAGAGUGUGUGGGGUGGGCAAAGACAGACAGGCACUGGAAUUUGGAAUCUGCAGCAGCAUAUUUUUAUUAGUUGGGCAGCACCGUUGUCCUGUCCUAGCAUGCUUUGUGUGUGCGUGUGUGCGCGCGCGUGUGUGCGCGUGUGUGUCUGGAGAGAGAGAGAGAGAGAGAGAGAGAGAGAGAGAGAGAGAACAGAAAAUUAAAUGAGGCACAAGUUUUAGAGAAACUUCGGUGGCAGGUUUAUAUUUCAAACUCUGAAACUGAUUAUGUGCUCGUCCAUAUGUGCGUGACAACCUUAUGAUGUGCGCGUGUGCCAAAAUGUGCGCACGAGAGAGAGAGAGAGAGAGAGAGAGAGAGAGAGGGACAGAUAGAGACACCACAUAGCCCCUUAAAUCACUCAGACAAUAAUGAUGCUAAUAAUGACACGCGGUGUAAUUAUGUUCCUGUACAGCCCCCACGAGCCUCAACCAGGAGAGUGAGGGAGGGAGGGAGGGUUCACCCCGGAGGAGAGAGAGAGAGAGAGAGAGAGAGAGAGAGGGAGAGAGGGAGGAGGUGAGGGGGAGGAGGGAAGAGAAAGUGAGGAAAGUUCUCAGCGGGUGAAGGAGGAAAGACCUUCCUUUUUUUUUUCUCCCCCCGCUGGUCUCCCUUCUUCAUCCGUCCAUCCAGGAGGAAAAACAGCAGUAAAGACGGGAACACAUGGGCUGCUGAUUAUCACUGAUCAUCAGUCAGAUAGGCCUGCAUGCGUGCGCGCGCUCUUGAUUGCCAGCUUGGUGGAGCGCGUGGCGUUGUGACGCACGGGCGCGAGGCAGCGACACCUACGCCGUCGAAGCUCUGACUGCAGGUGUACCGCGGAGGAGCGCGAGGAGCAGCCGCGAGGGAGUUUACUGGCCCGCUGGAUCGAUAGCUUCAGAUGCAAUAUGAUGGAUCGAUGGAGCUCAGUGCGCGAGGCAUGGCUGCUGUUGCUGCUCAUCACGAUGUUUGGCACCUCGAGGGCAGGUAGGUAGAGAUGUCCAGGACUGUUUAUUGGUUCAUCUUUGUGCAAAUUAUUAUUUCAACUUAAUUGAUUUGAUUCUAUUUUAUCUGCUGUAAAAAGUUAGCCAAAGCUUCCUCUCCUCCUCUCCUCUCCUCUUCCUCUCCUCUGCUCCUCUUCCUCUCCUCCUAUGACUGUGUCACAUCAGUUGUCAACACCUGCUUUCAGGGCCUCAAGAGCCAAGUUUAAGUUUAGUUCAUGUCAACCUAAACUUCUCCCAAACACACAACCUAGACAGUUUUUUGGUCUGUUGAUGUGAACUUGAUUUUUUAUGGUCAAUUAGUAAACCCCCCCCCCCCAACCCUGCUAAACACACACACACACACACACACACACACACACACACACACAUACACACACACACAGACAAUAAANNNNNNNNNNNNNNNNNNNNCACGUACACACACACACAGACAUAAGUGUCUCAUAGUGACUUCCAGAAAAAAAAUCACCUUUGGUCUCCACUUUGACGGAUGAUUUUGUCAUGCCAGGUCAUGCAGGCCUAAAGCUUAUUGAACUGAACUACCCUGAUCUGGGCUCCUUGAGCCCACUGCACAUUUGCUAGACAGUCGAAAGGCAUAGGCCUAUAUGUCUAGACUUGUUCUGCCAUACCUGCUGCAUCAGUCUCUGCUCUCAUACAGCAGCAUGCAGGAUAUUUAACCUGUACAGCUGGGUAAUGGAGAACAGACUGAGGCAAAUUAAAGUGAGCUGUGCCUGAACUGUACUGGGAAUGCUUGGUUACAUACAGCAGCCCCUGGAGCUGCACUGGAACCAGUUGAGGGGGGUCAGUUACAGCCUGGUGUCAUUGAUGUUUUUAUCAGCAUAAAUGCAAGUGUGUUUGAGUAGUUUGAAGAGGGAAUAUGCUGGGUUUUCUUACCAUAAAAAACACUUAAAAUCUAAGCAGUAGGCCCUUAUAAGGUGAGAAACUAAAUGCAGCACCUUGAGGAACCAUGCAGAAAUACUUAGAGCUAACCUGCUUUAUCCUGUUUAACCUGGACCCUAAGCAUCAAGACAGAUCCGAUGAGCAAGGUUAGUCUUUAUUAUUAAACUGAAAAAUAAUUUUUUUAGGUUUUGGUACUUUCAUGUCAAGUUUAUUUGUUUUGCCCCCCCAAUAUCACGCUUGCUGGAGUUCUGGAGCCUUCACUCGUAAUCACAUGAUCUUCAGUAGCAGUUGCAUCGAAUUGUAGAUUUUUUAACUUAAUGUUUU
rnacentral:lncRNA from 15 species